AUUUGAGCCCACACUUCUAAAUCCACCAAAUUAUUAAAAGCUAUGACCUCUAAAUUUAAAGGAUUUGGCGGUAAUCUAGUCCAGUUAGAGGAACCUGUGUAUUAAACGAUACUCCACGCAGAAUCUUACCUGUCCUCAGUUUGUAUACCGUCAUUAUUAGAUAACUUUAUAAAAAAGUAAGUUAUUGAAAUAAACAACAUGUUUAAUAUAUUAGAUCAAGGUGCAGCCCAUGUUCAGGAACCUCAUGGGUUACAAUAAAAUUAACUUACCACGGAUAUUAACCUUAAACAGUUAAUUUAAGGAGGAUUUAAUAGUAAAUUUAGAUUAAUAAGCUAAACUGAUAAAGGACCUAGAUUGUGUACAUAUUGCCCGUCGCUUUCAUUCCCAAAUGAAAUAAGUCGUAACACAG
rnacentral:rRNA from 1 species